UGUGAUCUUGUGAAGGGAAGAAGAUGUUGUAGAUAUGGAAAUGUGGUUGAAUAUGUAGAACCCAUAGAUCUAAAUGUGGAGAUGAACUUAUAGUUGUAGAUCUCAAAUUGAAGAUGAUUGAUUUGAGAAAGAAAAGAAAACAAGAUGUGAUCUUGUGAAGGGAAGAAGAUGUUGUAGAUAUGGAAAUGAGGUUGAAAUUAGUGGUGGUUCAUUACACCUUCUAGCGCCAUUAUGUAAGCCUUGAUUCCAGUUACAUGUAGAGAUUAGUGUUGUUGAGAUGGUCCUCUUGCUCCCUCUCCAUAGAUGGCCUGCAAAGGGUGCCAGAGAUGUCUCCGACGUCAACCCUCCGACGAUCAAGUUAGCCAUUGUGGGUAAUGGAGAAGAAAGUAAAAGAGAGAGAGGAAGAGAGAGAAG
rnacentral:lncRNA from 1 species